rnacentral:rRNA from 1 species
GGGCUAGCGUUGCUCGGAAUCACUGGGCGUAAAGGGUGCGUAGGCGGGUCUUUAAGUCAGGGGUGAAAUCCUGGAGCUCAACUCCAGAACUGCCUUUGAUACUGAAGAUCUUGAGUUCGGGAGAGGUGAGUGGAACUGCGAGUGUAGAGGUGAAAUUCGUAGAUAUUCGCAAGGACACCAGUGGCGAAGGCGGCUCACUGGCCCGAUACUGACGCUGAGGCACGAAAGCGUGGGGAGCAAACAGG